rnacentral:lncRNA from 1 species
AACCAAACUCUGAUACCAUAUUAAUAGAGCUGAUCAACUACUUUUUAAAAUAUAACAUCCGUACGUAGGAUUUGAAGUAGUACUAUAUAUAAGAUAUAACAGAGCUAAACGUCUUAAAUUCGAUUAUAGUAUUUUGGACGAUAGUUAAGCUCAAAAGGUUAAAAGAGUUAAUCGUAUUAGAAUUAGAGUAGUCAUAAUAUGGGUGACCUUCUAAGUAGUGGGGCGUCAUAGUUGGUAUCAUAGUCAAUCACCAAUCGGAAGAAACGUAUGAUGAGUCUUGGCCGAACUAGGGUCAUACAGCGAGUAAAGCGUGGCCUUGUGGGUGAAGUACAGCUUCUAACAAGAUCGGUUAAGAUUAGUAAGAUAAGUGUUUCCUCAUCAGGUGCUUGUAAAUAUGUUAAGAGCUUGACGAAGACGUCAGGACUUAAAGGAAGAAGAAAUGCGACACCUAGAAUUUAGAAUAGUACCAUAUAUAAUAUAUAAUAGGGCUAAAUGUAUUAAACCUAGCUAUAGUAUUUUGAGUGGUAGUUAGGCCCAAAAGAUUAAGAAGGUUAAGCAUGCUGAAGUUAGAGUAGUCUUAGGAUAA